rnacentral:rRNA from 1 species
CACGUAGUUAGCCGGGGCUUCUUACUCAGGUACCGUCAUCUUCUUCCCUGCUGAUAGAGCUUUACAUACCGAAAUACUUCUUCACUCACGCGGCGUUGCUGCAUCAGAGUUUCCCCCAUUGUGCAAUAUUCCCCACUGCUGCCUCCCGUAGGAGUUUGGGCCGUGUCUCAGUCCCAAUGUGGCCGGUCACCCUCUCAGGUCGGCUACUGAUCGUCGCCUUGGUGGGCCGUUACCCCUCCAACUAGCUAAUCAGACGCGGGUCCAUCUCAUACCACCGGAGUUUUUCACACAAGAACAUGCGUCCUCGUGCGCUUAUGCGGUAUUAGCAGUCAUUUCUAACUGUUAUCCCCCUGUAUGAGGCAGGUUACCCACGCGUUACUCACCCGUCCGCCACUCAGUCAAUUUGGCUUCCAUCCGAAAACUUCCGCUAAAUCGCUUCGUUCGACUUGCAUGUGUUAAGCACGCCGCCAGCGUUCAUCCUGAGCCAGGAUCAAACUCU